rnacentral:rRNA from 1 species
UACGAAGGGGGCUAGCGUUGUUCGGAAUUACUGGGCGUAAAGCGCACGUAGGCGGGUUCUUAAGUCAGGGGUGAAAUCCUGGAGCUCAACUCCAGAACUGCCUUUGAUACUGGGAAUCUCGAGUUCGGGAGAGGUGAGUGGAACUGCGAGUGUAGAGGUGAAAUUCGUAGAUAUUCGCAAGAACACCAGUGGCGAAGGCGGCUCACUGGCCCGAUACUGACGCUGAGGUGCGAAAGCGUGGGGAGCAAACAGG